CACAAGGGACUUGCACGCCUGGUUAAAUCCAGUUCACUAUGAUGGCACAGUCACCUCUGAAGACGAGAACUGAAACUCAGUAGUCUUACGUCCCCUGAUCCAUGAAAUAAUCCUUCACAUCUCCUGGGCCUUAAACUUGCCCUUUUCAUGUGAGAAUAAUUAUAUUGUUGAAUGAUGGAGGAUUUUCAAGGUCACUCUAGUGACAACAUAAAUCAGCUCUGCCAUUCUAAAAGGAAAUACCACCUUACACACAUCCAGAGACGACAGUACUGUGCAAGAUGAAUUUAAAUGAGCUGUGGCUCACAAAAGCUUAUUGUACCUCUAUACUUCCUUAGUGUGUCUGACUUCAGACUAACACAGCUGACUACCUCUCUGACUACCUGAUGCAGCUAAUUACCUCUUUUCAAAUGUUUGAAUUCAAAUAUAACAGUUAUGCCCAAACAGUACUGUACAUAUUUCAGGGACAGCUAACCUUGACAUCUUGAAAAGAAACUGGUUCUUGUCCAUGGAUUUUCAUUUGUUCCUGGAUAGCCUACAGCAAAGGAAAGGUUCAGUUGCAGAGAGGAAGAAUGCAUAAACCAAAGAAACAAAACUACUGUAGCAUUUUGUUAAUGCUCCAUGCUAAAUAUUUGAUAUUUCUGCAUCUAUAGUUAGACUGAACUGUGAUUGAAAAGAGAUACAUUAACAGUAAUGGUACCCAGCCUCUCCUUCAUGUGCUGGGUGAGUGAUCCAAUGAUGAAAGGACCUGGAACCCACUCAUCCACAAAAGCAGAAUUUGAUUAAGGCACAGGUACUAUAAGCCUGUGUCCAGGUUGACAGCCCAAGUCACUCCAAUAAAUCAAAACCAUGGUUCUCAUUAAAACACAUUUUAACUCUUGAAGAUGCAAAGUAAAGCUUGAAAAAUAUGAUCCAAGAUGUUACUGAGGCCUUCUCAGACAGCCUUAUGCACUUGUGUGUGAUUAGAGUUAUUCCUGAUUAACUCAACUUGAUUUGCUAAAGGUGCAGACACAAAACAAAACUGCUACCAUGUUAUUUAUCCCCAAGUUUACACUAGUAAGAGGCUGAUACAUGAUCAUCUCUCAGUAGGUACUAUCAUUACACCUGGCCAGUAGGUGGCAGGAGAGGCUGUUUGCAUUGAGCAAAGGGCUGCCUCCGGUUGAAACCGACUUAGACUGUACCUGAUGAGAUAUCUCCACUCACCUAUUUCCUGUUCCAUUCACUUCAGAAGUAAACUAAACUAAACCAAACCAAACCAAACCAGGAAAAGGCAUUUUUAGUCCAGCAUAACAAUGUUUAAGCAACAAGCUCUUCAGAAAUAGUUCAUCAGCUUUAAAUUCCAAUCCUAUCUAAAUCCAGAAUAUUCUUUUUGUUUAGAUAGAAAUCCUUAAACUGGGGACUGCAGGAAGAACAAACAGGGAGGCUACAGAAUGACUUCCCAGAUAAGAACCUUCAGGCAUGCAUCUGAAAGAAGGAGUAAAACCUGCCCCUUGAAGUACCUUGCAUCUUGUCUUCAGUAGUAAAGAUGCAGGCUUGUGUUUUGUUAGGUGGGGCACACAGCUUGGCUGUCAAGGAAGAUAAGCUGACAACCUAGAGAGAGAACCUGUAGUCUAAGGAACUUGGGUUUUCUCCUCUCCAGAGCCUACAGUCUUAGGAAAAACUAGGUAUGCAUCUGCUACAAAAUGUCUGUAUUCUAAAUAAUAUUAUCCUUUAAAGGGACUGUCUGUUCACUACUUACCGCUAUUGUUGCCCUAGGGAAGAGACUGGUAAUCUAUGGCCUGCAGGCCUGAUCCAGCCUGCCAGGAGGGGAUUGGUGGCAUGGAGCUGUACCAUGCUGCUCAUCUCCUAGGCAGUGUUCCCUUGCACUACAGAUCCUGCUGCUCCCCAUAUCUGUACUUCCCUUGCUGCAGAAGAACUAGGAACCACUCAGAGGAAGAGUGGGGAAGGGCAGAGCCUUGCCCCAUUGCAAGCUCCAGCCCGCCCCAGCAGAAGGUUGCAAAUCUGUGUCCUAGAAGAAACACAUUUGAGGGUCUGGACCUGCUGAGCCAACUGUUAGCUAGAGCCUGGUCUGGGACCAAGAUAAUCACACAAUUUCACCAUGGGAGACGGGUGAUGGCUGGAGACCUGGGACUCAGAAGAGGGGCACAGAGAAACCAAGAAGAGUCCAAAGUGCAAUUUCCCAGUAUUAGGAAACACAUUGGGAAGGAAGACAAACCAAACCAUCAGAAGAUGAAAGAACUACCAGUCUCCAUGGCAGUGUGCUAUAGCUACAUUUUUAAAAAGAACUUGCUUUAUGGUUGGUUAAAAUAAAUCUUAGCUGUAUUUAUACUAAACGAUAAACCUGAAAGAGGAUUCAGCAUCUUUGCAGGAGGUGCAUACAAAAUUUAUCGGCAAGUAUCUACAACAAGGGGAUAGCCUACCCAGAGUAUUUGGUAAUCUAGAUUUCCUACUAACCACUUAUCCAUUCACAGAAUGGUUCUAGAUUGAACUCUGUGUGUAGACAUUGCCAUUCUGGAAUAUGUCUGCCUAUGUCCUUAGACCAACAUGGCUACAACCUACACCCUUGUUCCUAUUUAGCUUUAGCUUAACCCAAAGUGAAGAUUAACAGGACCAAGGUAGGCCAAGCCUACACUACACUGUUUUGGCAGCAUCUAGUCAAAAAAUCAUGCUAAUUAACACAGCUGUAUCAAUGCCACCACCCCCAGCCUCCAAAACCCCCACAAUUUAAGGCCAUACACAGGAAUUCAGUUUCUCCUGGAAGAAUUGCUGUUCCCCAGGAGAAACUACAAGUAUACAAACAUUCAGGAUUUUUCUCCCAGGAGAAAAACAACCUGGGAACAACCAGAGUAUUUUCUCUUGGGAAAGCAAGUGUCUGUACACUUUUGCUUCUGAGAGGCCACAGCACAGGCCUCCAGCAUCUGAGGGUGCUUUGUCCCUGGCUGUUUCCCCUUCCCCAGUGACAACAUGUUGCUUGUUGGACUCUACUGCUCCAGCCAAGCAGGGAACAGAACACACCCCUCCACAAUCCUACAUUAUGAUGCAGGGAGGCACAGAUUGACCCUGAGCAGUUUGGGUCAGCCAGUCAGGGCUGCCCUACUCACUCUAACCAUUCUGUCCCAAGGCAGACUGAGGGAGCCUGCAAAGCAUGCUAAGAUGUGUGCACAGGGGCCCCCUAACUGUGCAGGGUUGAGAAGGUCCAAGGAAAGAACCUGAUCAAAUGGCCACUAAAGAUUAGGCUGUUAGUGAGCAUAGAGCAAAAGAUGUACAGAUUUGCAAACAAUGCCAAUUCAUGCAGGUUCAAGCAAGAAAUCACUGAAAGUGGGAUGUUAGACAAAUGUAAUGAGACUAUUACUGAGGUCCAUUUAAAAAAAAAUAAAACAACAACAACACUUUUCACCAUCUGAACCUCCUGCAGCAGCACACAUAUUGAAUGAAUUGGAUUUAUGCUCUAUGUGAAAAGCAGCUUUGGAAGGAUUGUGCAUCAGCAUGGCACUUGCACUAGAAAAAUUAAAAAUGUUCCAGUUUUUAUUUAGAAGAUCUCUGUUGAAAGAACCUGCUUUUUCAGACUGUUUUUGUUGAACAGACUGGAGGUUUAUUACUGAACCAAAAUGAAGAGGACAAGAUUACAAAUAAAACUUUGUGAGCUACA